AUCAGAUUUGGAUAUUAAAGAUGUUCGGUUUAAUAUAUUUAAAACGCGGACAGGAUUGGCAUAUUUAUACUGUAUGAAUCUUAGCCAGCCAGACGGCAUCAAAUGCCGAAUAUAUUUCGCUGAAAUUUGAACGGUUUAUCUUUAUAAGACAACAGAACUCGGAAGACAGAAAAUUUUAUAUAAUACUGUGGCUUAGAAAGCGAAAUAUUAGCUUCAAAGUAAACUAAUUUGCUGUCUGAGCAACCACUUCUGAAUGUAAACUGUAAACACAACACAAACCCGAGAAACUUGUAUUAAAAUUGCGCCGUGAUGAAUUUUCCAAUUCGCCCAAACUUCGAAACGUUUAAUAUACUCUAACUUGGCUAUACUUUUCUACAUGACAAUGAGAGCUUAAUCUUUUAGAAGUUUUCGUCGAAGUCAUGGCAUAUAGGAAGUAUCAAGAGCAACAUUUGGACAUAUCCUGGUUCCCGAUUGAUUGUUUGUCAUUGUUAUAAACAAAAAUUUAAAUUUCGCCUACUGCAUUGCUUUAGCACUUUAUAUACACCGAUUGUUUGUUGAACAUGCGAGAAGAUGAUAACAAUAUUAUUCUACGUAAACAUCGUGAAGUUCAACGCUAUAGUUUCCAAAAUAUAUCCCACGCAAGUAAACAAAUUUCAAGUUUCAACCCAAACAAUAUAUUCCAAUGCAUGUGCAAGGGCUUUUCCCAGUAGCUAAUCUCUCAAUAUAUAAGGCGGCUUCCAAUUGGCUCUAAUGUUUUUGAACACUGCCAGAUGAUUGGCUCGGCUAAAACAAAGGGAAUUGAAUAUGCAGCUCGGGUAAGCAGACGGUAGUAUUUCGUCGCUUGGCGUAAGAACUACAACGUCUGUGAGCAGGCUACGUCUCAACACAAUCACACAAAGUCCUUGCAAUGUACAAACUGCAUGCUUUUUUGAUUGACACUUGCGCAUUAAAUAACUUCAGGUAUGCCAUAAACUGUUAAAUAUUAAAUAUUGACAAUCUCCAACAGCGAUAUUGUGCAUCGAAAUCAUAAUAUACCGUGUGUUAUGUCAACAAAUAUAUGUUACAUGUUGACAAAUUUGAUUCAAUGAUUUAUAAGGGGGUGCCCUCCUCUCCCCCCCCCCCCUAUAUAAGAGUUCUAAAAGUUUUUUUUUAGGUAGCCAUUUUGCAAUUUGACCGCACAGUGAGGAGAAUUUGUAUAUCAAACAUUGUUACUUACAGUCAAAACGAGUGUUCUCGUGCAGAAUAUAUUGCAAUAUUGCUCUGCAACAUUACAAUGUUGCAUGUCUGGCUUGAUCAAUUUGGAAACGUGUGUAGUGAAGGUUCCUCAGCAUAUUCCCUAUUAAAAGGCUUCACUUUUUUCCAAAAGGCUUCACCUUUUUCCAAUGCAAAUUCAUAUUUUAAUACAAUACUGCUGUGUGAGUGGGAAGCAUUUUCUCUCAGGCAGUUUAAAUACGAAAAUGUUGAAUUUCUGAUGUAACCGGACGUCAAUCUUCCCGAAACAGUUGCAAGUUGCUCAAUAUUGCGUGGGCUCUGCAAUGUAGCGCGCAAGAGAACACCCGAUUUGACACCCGACUGUAAGUUUCUCGAG
rnacentral:lncRNA from 1 species